rnacentral:tRNA from 1 species
CAGAUGUAGUUUAGUGGUAGAACAUUGCCUUCCCAAGGCGACAGUGGGGGUUCGAUUCCCCUCAUCUG